CCCUCACCACUCCACAGUCUUCCCCCCAGCCCACUGACAGCAGGCAUCAUAAUGCCCCUCCCAGCUUCCGGCACCUUUCGCCACUCCGGCAGAACACUCCAAACGACACAGCUUUGCGAUCUCCCCAGCAUGCAGAGUCUGAUGUCGAGGCCUUCCCUAUAGAUGGUAUGCUUUUAUAAUUGUUUUAAAGCUGAAUCACAAUGUCAUUGUGCACUUAUCUUCAAAACACCAGUUUAUACUCCUGAAUGUCAUCGUGUUGUGAUUUGUUUUUCUGUAGAUUCCAGAGACUCUGUGAGGCCACUAUUACAAGGCAAGUUCGAACAUCUUGGAAUUUCAGAUUUUACAUGGUAUAAAUGGUAAAUGGCCUAUAUUUGUACAGCGCUUUAACUAGUCCCUAAGGCCCCAAAGUGCUUUACACAUUCAGUCAUCCACCCAUUCACACACACAUUCACGCACUGGUGAUGGCAAGCUACAUAUACAAAUAUCAUAUAUAUGUGAGAGGCAAAAACUAGCAAACACUUUUAGCAGUUAAAACAACCAAUACUUGAAUGCAGAAUGUUACACCAUCACUUAUGGAUAUAUUAGUUUUUCGCCUCUGACUGCUUAAGCCAUUAAUCUUUCUGGAAUUGUUCUUUGAAACAGAUGCGACCUCACAAAAGAUAUUAACUAUGCUGUCAGACCUGACGAGAUCUCUUAACGAACUCUGUGAGGAGGUCAGAGCCAUCCGCAAUACCGGCUCCAAUGAAUCGGUAGAUGCUGGGGUACUCCCUUUGGAUUUGCCCUUGCACAACAUUGAGGAGCUAAACAAUGCAGAGGCAGCUCUUCAAUCGCAAGAGGCAAAUAAGGCAAUGAUGAGACGCUUUGCCUUGAUUGGAGGGACCACACUGGAGGUGCGAGUCCGCCGUGUAAUGGCUUAUGCCAUCACAAACGAGCUGGCCUCAGUACUAAACUGGGCAAGGGAAAAAAACAAAGGACCAGACAAAGCAAAAAAGGGCAUUUAAAGAGACAGCGCUGUGCAGAUGCAUAUUUGGUAAGUUUUACCGUUUAUUGUAGUUUUAUGAGCCUAAAGUGAACAAUAAAGGGAUCGAUUGAUCUGCUGGGUGUGUUUCACAAGUCCUAUGUCCGGUUUUUCCUAUAUUACUUUGUCUUUUUUAAUAACAAGACUUUCAUGUCUGGUUAAUCUGGAGAUGGAGUCUUUGGUCUUUGGCUUGUUUAGUCCUCGGGUUGUAGUUUGUACAGCCCGAGGACUCCAUGUUUAUUUUGUUUUAAAGGAUACAUGGCACACCAUGCUAAGACUUAUCACUUUUUCCGGUCAUAGCUCUUUGGGAAUCAAAUGCGGCAGUUUGCAGAUUUAUGCCUGGUGACUUUCAUGUUUAUCAGCCUAGGAGUUUACAUACUUUCUCCCUGCUGAAGACAGAUAACAAGAGCUUAUUCAUGUGCUCUAAUUCACUUUUUUGGUUCGUGUAUGUGUUUGUGUAUCUUUGUCCUAGAUGGCCUGACGCAGCAGUUGGGGGCAAACUCUAUGGCUACGUUCACACUGCAGGCGAAAGCGCAUCAAAUCCGAUUUUUUCGCCCCUAUGCGACCCGUAUCCGAUCUUGGUAUGACAGUGUGAACGGCACAAAUCCGAUAUUUUCAAAUCCGAUCUGGGUCACUUUCGUAUGUGGUACUGAAUCCGAUACGUAUCCGAUGUUUUAGAAAGCGACUGCUGUGUGAACGGUCAAGUCGCAUUAAAUCCGUCUUUUACGUCACUGACACAAGACAGACGCCGAUUAUCAGCGCCGGAGAAGCGCCCGAUAGGACAUUGCGAACGAUUUCCUACCAUCCGGUGAAACUGUUGGGAAGACAAUGUUGGAGAAAUGUGAACAAAUUUAUUUUUACUGUAUUUUCUGCAGAUUCUGACAGAAAUCUGCAACUAUCCUUUGAAGCACCGCUCCUCUAAAACAGCAAAAACGAUCAUUAUUAGGUUAUCUACAUUAUUAUGUAAAUAACAAAAUAACUUAAAGCAAAAAUCAGGAAACAUAAAGUUCGAAGUCUUUAUAUUAAGGGCAAUCAGUCAAACAAUAUUGUUUGCUCUGGGUCUAAACAGAGCGAGUUCUGUGUGACAUCUUCUUUUGCGCAUGCGGGCCGCUUUGAGCGUUCACACUGGAGAGCGUUUGAUGUCGCAUUUUAUGUGUAGUGUGAACAAGCAGACAAAAAAAUCGGAUUUGAUCAAAAAAUCGGAAUUGAGCAUUAAGACCUGCAGUGUGAACGUAGCCUAUGUCUUUGCACAAGCAGUGCAGAAAUGGCUCUGAUACGCCCCAGAUCGUUUGGGUGGCGCAGGACGCACAUCAUCCGUCCCCAUCCCGGAGUAAAAACUACAAAGUUAUGUUAAAAUAUAAAUGUAAAUAGAAAACUGUGUUUUAAUAAAGUAUUUAGCAAACGAAACAUGUCUAUUGACCUUUUUUUGUUUAGUUUUUUUUUCUCUGUUACAUCACAUGCAAUGCUUUCUUAUUUUAGGAUAUUAAUAUUGACAUGAUACAUUGUGAGACAUUUGAGUUAUAAAGGGUGUCCAGUUUGAGGAAUAAGUGCAAUUAUGUGUUUAGGUGGUUUAAGUAUUGAUGGAAACAUGCAGUAGUUUAGUAGUGGUUAAAAUAACUAUAAAGAAAGA
ensembl:lncRNA